rnacentral:rRNA from 1 species
AACGAACGCUGGCGGCAUGCCUAACACAUGCAAGUCGAACGAGACCUUCGGGUCUAGUGGCGCACGGGUGCGUAACGCGUGGGAACCUGCCUUUAGGUUCGGAAUAACUCAGAGAAAUUUGAGCUAAUACCGGAUGAUGUCUUCGGACCAAAGAUUUAUCGCCUUUAGAUGGGCCCGCGUUGGAUUAGCUAGUUGGUGGGGUAAAGGCCUACCAAGGCGACGAUCCAUAGGUGGUCUGAGAGGAUGAUCAGCCACACUGGGACUGAGACACGGCCCAGACUCCUACGGGAGGCAGCAGUGGGGAAUAUUGGACAAUGGGCGAAAGCCUGAUCCAGCAAUGCCGCGUGAGUGAUGAAGGCCUUAGGGUUGUAAAGCUCUUUUACCCGAGAUGAUAAUGACAGUAUCGGGAGAAUAAGCUCCGGCUAACUCCGUG